rnacentral:misc_RNA from 1 species
CCCUCCCCUUAACCUAUCAAAUGUACCUCCCAAAAACUCGAUAAACAAAAAUCCCGAAAAUUUCAAGUAUAUAAGAAAACGUUGCGCGAGGUUUCAGAUUAUUACUUGGGUAAAAUCACUCUCGCACCAAGAUUCCAGAAAAGAACGACGAAACGCAUCCCGUCAUUACAUAGAUCUUGAUCAGAUCAUAAAAAACCAAGGGAAAAUGUUCACACUUGGAUGAUCAUGCAUCCCAUCAGUACUGUCUGGACGGACCAGGACUGUCCGGACUGGUCCAUCAGUCCAUGAAAAUCCGACCCAUACGUACUGAUGGGCUGUUCUGAUCGAGCUUAUCCGUCCUGAAUGGAAGGAUUUAGCUCAACGGACCAUGGACUGUCCGGACUGGUCCCAUCAGUACGUGAAAAAUGCCCCGUACGUACUGAUAUGCUGAUCCGAUCAGCCAUCAGUACUGUCUGGACGGACCAGGACUGUCCGGACUGGUCCGUCAGUCCAUGAAAAUCCGACCCAUACGUACUGAUGGGCUGUUCUGAUCGAGCUUAUCCGUCCUGAAUGGAAGGAUUUAGCUCAACGGACCAUGGACUGUCCGGACUGGUCCCAUCAGUACGUGAAAAAUGCCCCGUACGUACUGAUAUGCUGAUCCGAUCAGCCAUCAGUACUGUCUGGACGGACCAGGACUGUCCGGACUGGUCCAUCAGUCCAUGAAAAUCCGACCCAUACGUACUGAUGGGCUGAUCUGAUCGAGACGGACCAUGGACUGUCCGGACUGGUCCCAUCAGUACGUGAAAAAUGCCCCGUACGUACUGAUAUGCUGAUCCGAUCAGCCAUCAGUACUGUCUGGACGGACCAGGACUGUCCGGACUGGUCCAUCAGUCCAUGAAAAUCCGACCCAUACGUACUGAUGGGCUGAUCUGAUCGAGACGGACCAUGGACUGUCCGGACUGGUCCCAUCAGUACGUGAAAAAUGCCCCGUACGUACUGAUAUGCUGAUCCGAUCAGCCAUCAGUACUGUCUGGACGGACCAGGACUGUCCGGACUGGUCCAUCAGUCCAUCAAAAUCCGACCCAUACGUACUGAUGGGCUGAUCUGAUCGAGCCGGACCAUGGACUGUCCGGACUGGUCCCAUCAGUACGUGAAAAAUGCCCCGUACGUACUGAUAUGCUGAUCCGAUCAGCCAUCAGUACUGUCUGGACGGACCAGGACUGUCCGGACUGGUCCAUCAGUCCAUGAAAAUCCGACCCAUACGUACUGAUGGGCUGAUCUGAUCGAGACGGACCAUGGACUGUCCGGACUGGUCCCAUCAGUACGUGAAAAAUGCCCCGUACGUACUGAUAUGCUGAUCCGAUCAGCCAUCAGUACUGUCUGGACGGACCAGGACUGUCCGGACUGGUCCAUCAGUCCAUGAAAAUCCGACCCAUACGUACUGAUGGGCUGAUCUGAUCGAGACGGACCAUGGACUGUCCGGACUGGUCCCAUCAGUACGUGAAAAAUGCCCCGUACGUACUGAUAUGCUGAUCCGAUCAGCCAUCAGUACUGACUGGACGGACCAGGACUGUCCGGACUGGUCCAUCAGUCCAUGAAAAUCCGACCCAUACGUACUGAUGGGCUGAUCUGAUCGAGACGGACCAUGGACUGUCCGGACUGGUCCCAUCAGUACGUGAAAAAUGCCCCGUACGUACUGAUAUGCUGAUCCGAUCAGCCAUCAGUACUGUCUGGACGGACCAGGACUGUCCGGACUGGUCCAUCAGUCCAUGAAAAUCCGACCCAUACGUACUGAUGGGCUGAUCUGAUCGAGACGGACCAUGGACUGUCCGGACUGGUCCCAUCAGUACGUGAAAAAUGCCCCGUACGUACUGAUAUGCUGAUCCGAUCAGCCAUCAGUACUGUCUGGACGGACCAGGACUGUCCGGACUGGUCCAUCAGUCCAUGAAAAUCCGACCCAUACGUACUGAUGGGCUGAUCUGAUCGAGCUUAUCCGUCCUGAAUGGAAGGAUUUAGCUCAACGGACCAUGGACUGUCCGGACUGGUCCCAUCAGUACGUGAAAAAUGCCCCGUACGUACUGCCAGACAGUCCCACGUGGGCCAAAAUCACCCACGGACAGCCAAAACCACCCGAGAAACCAAAAAUUCAAAAAUUAAUAUUUUUGAAGAAAAUUUUCUGAAAGGAAACAUCAGAAAUAUGUCAAUAAAGAGUUUAGGAUGUCAAGUGUUGAUCAAAAGUUCAUUUAGACAUCCGUUAAGACCCCGACAGCCCGAGCCUUGUAGCAUGCAAAAGACAUGGUUAGAAGCAUCAGAAAAUUAUGAAAUUUUACCAGAAAAUAGCUCUCAACCAUCCUUAUGAAGCAUGCAAAAAAUCAGAUUCAAAAUCGAAGUAUUUUUUUUUUUACAUCAAAAAUACUCCCGGAACAGAAUCAAUGUCUACUGGUGGGAGACUGAAAAAAAGUGAUUUGUAUAUAUAAGGGGUAGGCACCUUCUGUGCCUACCCCCCAGGUGGGAGUCCGAAUGGGUAUGGGUGGUGUCCGCAUGCUUGGUGCAGCAUGAUAGAUGGUUGGGUUUGUGGUCCGAUGGCCGGACAGUCUCCGGAACUUUUCCGGCGACUUUUCCGGCGACUUUUUUUUGGACCGUUUUGCCCCUAAUAUCAGAUUUUCGCGCUUUGGCGACUUGUCUGGUUCCAUUCGUCUUCCAGCUGCUUUUCUGAUUACAUCGGAAGAGUGGUUGGAAAGAUUGAUGUUAGCGGGGCAAUUGAACGUUCGGCGUAUGAGUGGUGAUUGGAUAGCUAGUGUUUGUAGGCUCUGUGCUCGCGCACCCAACUACAGACCAACUAUCCUUCUCAGUUACUUCAACAAGCAAAUUAAUGCUUGUUGACUUGAUCUGGGGACUGUGUUGCGUACCUAUCCGGAAGGAAUUGUUA